rnacentral:rRNA from 1 species
GUGUCAGCAGCCGCGGUAAUACAGAGGGGGCAAGCGUUAUUCGGAAUUAUUGGGCGUAAAGGGCGCGUAGGCGGCUUGGCAAGUGGAAGGUGAAAUCCCUCGGCUUAACCGAGGAACUGCCCUCCAAACUGCUUUGCUUGAGGCCGGGAGAGGUGAGUGGAAUUCCCAGUGUAGCGGUGAAAUGCGUAGAUAUUGGGAGGAACACCAGUGGCGAAGGCGGCUCACUGGACCGGUUCUGACGCUGAUGCGCGAAAGCGUGGGGAGCAAACGGGAUUAGAUACCCCCGUAGUCC